CCUGGCGGCAGUAGCGCGGUGGUCCCACCUGACCCCAUGCCGAACUCAGAAGUGAAACGCCGUAGCGCCGAUGGUAGUGUGGGGUCUCCCCAUGCGAGAGUAGGGAACUGCCNGGC
rnacentral:rRNA from 1 species